rnacentral:tRNA from 1 species
GCCAGAUUAGCUCAAUUGGUAGAGCAGCGGACUCUUAAUCCGUUGGUUCUGGGUUCGAGUCCCAGAUCUGGUACCA